UACGUAGGUGGCAAGCGUUGUCCGGAUUUACUGGGCGUAAAGAGCGCGCAGGCGGUCGUCCAAGUCGCGUGUGAAAGCCCCCGGCUCAACUGGGGAGGGUCACGCGAUACUGGUCGACUCGAAGGCAGGAGAGGGUAGUGGAAUUCCCGGUGUAGUGGUGAAAUGCGUAGAUAUCGGGAGGAACACCAGUGGCGAAGGCGACUACCUG
rnacentral:rRNA from 1 species